GCGGAGGGAUCAUUACUGAGUGAGGGCCUUCGGGCUCGACCUCCAACCCUUUGUGAACACAACUUGUUGCUUCGGGGGCGACCCUGCCGUUUCGACGGCGAGCGCCCCCGGAGACCAUCAAACACUGCAUCUUUGCGUCGGAGUUUAAGUAAAUUAAACAAAACUUUCAACAACGGAUCUCUUGGUUCUGGCAUCGAUGAAGAACGCAGCGAAAUGCGAUAAGUAAUGUGAAUUGCAGAAUUCAGUGAAUCAUCGAAUCUUUGAACGCACAUUGCGCCCUUUGGUAUUCCGAAGGGCAUGCCUGUUCGAGCGUCAUUUCACCACUCAAGCCUGGCUUGGUAUUGGGCGCCGCGGUCAAUCCGCGCGCCUCAAAGUCUCCGGCUGAGCUGUCCGUCUCUAAGCGUUGUGAUUUCAUUAAUCGCUUCGGAGUGCGGGCGGCCGCGGCCGUUAAAUCUUUCACAAGGUUGACCUCAGAUCAGGUAGGGAUACCCGCUG
rnacentral:rRNA from 1 species